rnacentral:rRNA from 1 species
GAGUUUGAUCCUGGCUCAGAACGAACGCUGGCGGCAGGCCUAACACAUGCAAGUCGAACGCUGUAGCAAUACAGAGUGGCAGACGGGUGAGUAACACGUGGGAAUCUUCCUAUCGGUACGGAAUAGCCCAGGGAAACUUGGGGUAAUACCGCAUACGCCCUUCGGGGGAAAGAUUUAUCGCCGAUAGACGAGCCCGCGUCUGAUUAGCUAGUUGGUGGGGUAAUGGCCUACCAAGGCGACGAUCAGUAGCUGGUCUGAGAGGAUGAUCAGCCACACUGGGACUGAGACACGGCCCAGACUCCUACGGGAGGCAGCAGUGGGGAAUAUUGGACAAUGGGCGAAAGCCUGAUCCAGCCAUGCCGCGUGAGUGACGAAGGUCUUCGGAUUGUAAAGCUCUUUUGGCGGGGACGAUAAUGACGGUACCCGCAGAAUAA